GGGUUGUGAGGUUAAGCGACUAAGCGUACACGGUGGAUGCCCUGGCAGUCAGAGGCGAUGAAGGACGUGCUAAUCUGCGAAAAGCGUCGGUAAGGUGAUAUGAACCGUUAUAACCGGCGAUGUCCGAAUGGGGAAACCCAGUGUGAUUCGUCACACUAUCGUUAACUGAAUACAUAGGUUAACGAGGCGAACCGGGGGAACUGAAACAUCUAAGUACCCCGAGGAAAAGAAAUCAACCGAGAUUCCCCCAGUAGCGGCGAGCGAACGGGGAGCAGCCCAGAGUCUGAAUCAGCUUGUGUGUUAGUGGAACGGUCUGGAAAGUCCGACGGUACAGGGUGAUAGUCCCGUACACCAAAAUGCACAGGCUGUGAACUCGAAGAGUAGGGCGGGACACGUGGUAUCCUGUCUGAAUAUGGGGGGACCAUCCUCCAAGGCUAAAUACUCCUGACUGACCGAUAGUGAACCAGUACCGUGAGGGAAAGGCGAAAAGAACCCCGGCGAGGGGAGUGAAAAAGAACCUGAAACCGUGUACGUACAAGCAGUGGGAGCACCUUCGGGUGUGACUGCGUACCUUUUGUAUAAUGGGUCAGCGACUUAUAUUCUGUAGCAAGGUUAACCGUAUAGGGGAGCCGCAGGGAAACCGAGUCUUAACUGGGCGUUAAGUUGCAGGGUAUAGACCCGAAACCCGGUGAUCUAGCCAUGGGCAGGUUGAAGGUUGGGUAACACUAACUGGAGGACCGAACCGACUAAUGUUGAAAAAUUAGCGGAUGACUUGUGGCUGGGGGUGAAAGGCCAAUCAAACCGGGAGAUAGCUGGUUCUCCCCGAAAGCUAUUUAGGUAGCGCCUCGUGAACUCAUCUUCGGGGGUAGAGCACUGUUUCGGCUAGGGGGUCAUCCCGACUUACCAACCCGAUGCAAACUACGAAUACCGAAGAAUGUUAUCACGGGAGACACACGGCGGGUGCUAACGUCCGUCGUGAAGAGGGAAACAACCCAGACCGCCAGCUAAGGUCCCAAAGUCAUGGUUAAGUGGGAAACGAUGUGGGAAGGCACAGACAGCCAGGAUGUUGGCUUAGAAGCAGCCAUCAUUUAAAGAAAGCGUAAUAGCUCACUGGUCGAGUCGGCCUGCGCGGAAGAUGUAACGGGGCUAAACCAUGCACCGAAGCUGCGGCAGCGACACUAUGUGUUGUUGGGUAGGGGAGCGUUCUGUAAGCCUGCGAAGGUGUGCUGUGAGGCAUGCUGGAGGUAUCAGAAGUGCGAAUGCUGACAUAAGUAACGAUAAAGCGGGUGAAAAGCCCGCUCGCCGGAAGACCAAGGGUUCCUGUCCAACGUUAAUCGGGGCAGGGUGAGUCGACCCCUAAGGCGAGGCCGAAAGGCGUAGUCGAUGGGAAACAGGUUAAUAUUCCUGUACUUGGUGUUACUGCGAAGGGGGGACGGAGAAGGCUAUGUUAGCCGGGCGACGGUUGUCCCGGUUUAAGCAUGUAGGCUGAUUGUCCAGGCAAAUCCGGAUAAUCAAGGCUGAGGUGUGAUGACGAGGCACUACGGUGCUGAAGUAACAAAUGCCCUGCUUCCAGGAAAAGCCUCUAAGCAUCAGGUAACAUCAAAUCGUACCCCAAACCGACACAGGUGGUCAGGUAGAGAAUACCAAGGCGCUUGAGAGAACUCGGGUGAAGGAACUAGGCAAAAUGGUGCCGUAACUUCGGGAGAAGGCACGCUGGUGUGUAGGUGAAGUCCCUGCGGAUGGAGCUGAGACCAGUCGAAGAUACCAGCUGGCUGCAACUGUUUAUUAAAAACACAGCACUGUGCAAACACGAAAGUGGACGUAUACGGUGUGACGCCUGCCCGGUGCCGGAAGGUUAAUUGAUGGGGUUAUCCGUAAGGAGAAGCUCUUGAUCGAAGCCCCGGUAAACGGCGGCCGUAACUAUAACGGUCCUAAGGUAGCGAAAUUCCUUGUCGGGUAAGUUCCGACCUGCACGAAUGGCGUAAUGAUGGCCAGGCUGUCUCCACCCGAGACUCAGUGAAAUUGAACUCGCUGUGAAGAUGCAGUGUACCCGCGGCAAGACGGAAAGACCCCGUGAACCUUUACUAUAGCUUGACACUGAACAUUGAGCCUUGAUGUGUAGGAUAGGUGGGAGGCUUUGAAGCGUGGACGCCAGUCUGCGUGGAGCCAACCUUGAAAUACCACCCUUUAAUGUUUGAUGUUCUAACGUUGGCCCCUGACCGGGGUUGCGGACAGUGUCUGGUGGGUAGUUUGACUGGGGCGGUCUCCUCCCAAAGCGUAACGGAGGAGCACGAAGGUUAGCUAAUCCUGGUCGGACAUCAGGAGGUUAGUGCAAUGGCAUAAGCUAGCUUGACUGCGAGCGUGACGGCGCGAGCAGGUGCGAAAGCAGGUCAUAGUGAUCCGGUGGUUCUGAAUGGAAGGGCCAUCGCUCAACGGAUAAAAGGUACUCCGGGGAUAACAGGCUGAUACCGCCCAAGAGUUCAUAUCGACGGCGGUGUUUGGCACCUCGAUGUCGGCUCAUCACAUCCUGGGGCUGAAGUAGGUCCCAAGGGUAUGGCUGUUCGCCAUUUAAAGUGGUACGCGAGCUGGGUUUAGAACGUCGUGAGACAGUUCGGUCCCUAUCUGCCGUGGGCGCUGGAGAAUUGAGGGGGGCUGCUCCUAGUACGAGAGGACCGGAGUGGACGCAUCACUGGUGUUCGGGUUGUCAUGCCAAUGGCACUGCCCGGUAGCUAAAUGCGGAAGAGAUAAGUGCUGAAAGCAUCUAAGCACGAAACUUGCCCCGAGAUGAGUUCUCCCCUGAGACUUUAAGUCUCCUGAAGGAACGUUAAAGACGAUGACGUUGAUAGGCCGGGUGUGUAAGCGCAGCGAUGCGUUGAGCUAACCGGUACUAAUGAACCGUGAGGCUUAACCUUACAACGCCGAAG
rnacentral:rRNA from 1 species